rnacentral:tRNA from 1 species
UCCCUGGUGGCUCAGACAGUAAAGAAUCUGCCUGCCGUGCAGGAGACCCAGGUUUGAUCCCUGGUCAGGAAG